rnacentral:rRNA from 1 species
AUUGAACGCUGGCGGCAUGCCUAACACAUGCAAGUCGAACGGGAGUAGCAAUACUCUAGUGGCGGACGGGUGAGGAAUACGUAGGAAUUUGCCCUUAAGUGGGGGAUAACCCGGGGAAACCCGGAUUAAUACCGCAUGACCUCGAAAGAGCAAAGUGGGGGAUCGCAAGACCUCACGCUUUUGGAGAAGCCUACGUCAGAUUAGCUAGUUGGUGAGGUAAUGGCUCACCAAGGCGACGAUCCGUAACUGGUCUGAGAGGAUGAUCAGUCACACCGGAACUGAGACACGGUCCGG